GCUCCUGGCCUGAUCGGUUGAAUUCCACAUCUCAUUGAGAAACUGUGCUGAGGCCUGCCACCCUGCACCUGGCUCCCUGGGCCUGCUCACCUGCUCACCGGAGUCCUGGCUCUCCCCAGGCUGAGAUGGGAAGACCCCUUCUUUGUAAGCCUUCCUGAUGUCUCCUCAGAAGGACCGCUUCCUCCUCCGGACUCUGAGCAUUUCUAGAACAGGACACCAGGAUCCUUCUCCCCAUGCUGCCCCGUAACAAUUUCUCUACAUCUCGUUGUCCAUCUCGCCUUCCAGCUGGGAGCAAAUCAAAAGAAAAAUCGAAGCCCCAGCCGACUCUGUCAUUUUAACGACAAGCACAGUUCUCGGCACACUGUGGGUGCUCCAUAAAGCUUGUCAGAUCGGUGAUUGAAUGAACAAACGCGGGGACGGCUGAAUAAAUUAACGGGAACAAGUGCGGAAUAAAUCGCAGAGAAAGACAUUCGUUGGUUGCACAGCUGGGCAACUGACGAUUUUUCAUUUACACUUCAGGCUCCGCACGAAAUUCAAAUUCUCAUUACAGUAUGGCAUAAAACACAAUCCACACUUUUAACAACGACCCUGAGAAAUUCAACGGUGGGGAAAGCUUUAAUGUGUUCCUCCUAUUGAUUACGGCUCUGCAAAGUGGAAUGAAAAGAUUAGCUUCAAACACUUUCAUGUGAAAGGCUAAAAGGAAGCAAAUGCAGCAUGGGAUAGUGAAGCCCAGGGCUCUUUCAGACAUACCACCGUCACUGACGUGACAUGCUCACGGCUCGCCCCACGACAUGUUGCCGUGCCAACAUACAUUCUGAGUCACCCAAGCAGAUUUAAUGCCAUCCCCACAAGGACUCUCUCUUUGCCUUUUCUUCUAAAAAAAUUGUGAAAGGGAAGAUGCCGACCUACCUAGGAAAUGAUUUUAAUCAGUUUAGUUCCGGAAAUAACUAUGGAAAUUCAGAUUUUUCCAUUCUGUUGCUUCUGAACAUUAUAUUGUGACAAAUGGCUGAUGAAGCCACUGCUUUUAUUUUCCCCCCCUGACCCGUCGGGAGAAAUGACAUGAUUGGCAGUCAUUCUGAAUCCCACAUGGAAAGGUCUCCGGGCAUAAGCAUAUGAAAAGCCAACAAAAAUGAAGCUUUUGAAAAUAAGAAAAACGCAAAAAUUGCCCAUCAUUCUUCACAUACCAUACAGAUAACCGUGCCCUCCUUCAUUAAGAGUCGUCCCCCAGUGGCCAUUUAUCUCAAUCCUGGGAAAUCUAGACAGAGCUCACAAGCAUGGUGACCUCAGCAAUGUUCAGGUGAACAUCAACCCAUUUGUAGAUUUCAAACAAAUUGAAGAGGAUGAGUGUGCACCAGACGUGUGAUAUAUUUUGAUACGGAUGACCUACCAAACAGGAUAUUAGUUAAGCAUUGGGCAGCACGAAAUGAAUCAUGCAAAAAGCUUGGAAAAUUUUUAGGGACAUUUGUGUGACCCUCCGCAGGUUUCGAAGCUCGCUCAUCCCUUUAUCCAUUCAUUCAACAGUAUUUAUUGGCAUACAUGCUCCUUUUGACCUCUGCAAUAACCCUGCAGUGGAGGUGGAGAAGAAAUUGGAAGGACAGGAGAACUGAAGUUUACAGAAAAAAUACUGCUCACGUCAUCGAGCUAUUGAGAAGCAGAAUGGAACCUGUCGCCCUGGUCUGAUCUGCAGUCCUGGCCACGAAUCACGUUCUUUCUGGGGCCUUUUAAACUCAAUAUUGUAAACACUAAGUUGAAAGUUAAAACCUCCCAAGUGUACUUAAAAUGCUGAUGGAAGUUUAAUUUGUGUGUCUACCUUUUUCACGAGCACUUCUUUUAUGUAAACUGUUAACGAAACAAAUUCGUGUAAAUGGAAUAUAUUCAGGCACGAUGAGAAUACGAGUGAAAUCUUGCACGAGCACCGAUGGUAGGUCUCACCUUGUCGGUCAGCUCAAGUCCUUCUGUAGAGUUGAAGGACAAGAAAGGGGAAACCAAGGGCUCUACGGACCCCCUAAGAUGUACCCCAGUGCUGGGAUUGUGGAAGACCCCUGCUCAGAGCAGAUCACAGGAAGGC
rnacentral:lncRNA from 1 species